GGUUCUGAGACUCGAACACUUCCUCUUUCCUCUAGGCAAUGGCAGUGCUGACAGAUCACCCAUAUGCCUCCCUGACCCUCCCAGAUGACGCAGCUGCUGACUGUCUCUUUCUUCGUCCUGGGUUGCCUGGUGUGCCCCCUUUCCUCCUGCACCGUGGAGGUGGGGAUCUGCCCAACAGCCAGGAGCAGGCACUGCAGAAGCUCUCUGAUGUCACCCUGGUACCUGUGUCCUGCUCAGAACUGGAGAAGGCUGGCGCCGGGCUCAGCUCCCUCUGCUUGGUGCUCAGCACACGCCCCCACAGCUGAGGGCCUGGCCUUGGGGUACUGCUGGCCAGGGGUAGGAUAGUAUAGGAAGUAGAAGGGGAAGGAGGGUUAGAUAGAGAAUGCUGAAUAGGCAGUAGUUGGGAGAGCGCCUCAAUAUUGGGGGAAGGGAGAGUGUAGGGAAAAGGAUCCACUGGGUGAGUCCUCCCUCUCAGAACCAAUAAAAUAGAAUUGACCUUUUAGACUGGGCUGUGACUGGUGUCUUAC
rnacentral:lncRNA from 1 species